UUGCAGGACCUCCAGUGUUGAAUCACAUAC
rnacentral:piRNA from 1 species